UGGGGAAUCUUCCGCAAUGGACGAAAGUCUGACGGAGCAACGCCGCGUGUAUGAUGAAGGUCUUCGGAUUGUAAAGUACUGUCAUUGGGGAAGAACGGUUUUCUUGAAAAGAUUGAGAAGACAUGACGGUACCCAAGGAGGAAGCCCCGGCUAACUACGUGCCAGCAGCCGCGGUAAUACGUAGGGGGCAAGCGUUGUCCGGAAUUAUUGGGCGUAAAGGGCGCGUAGGCGGGCCUUUAAGUCCGGUGUGAAAGAUCAGGGGCUCAACCCCUGAGAGUGCAUCGGAAACUGGAGGCCUUGAGGACAGGAGAGGAAAGUGGAAUUCCACGUGUAGCGGUGAAAUGCGUAGAUAUGUGGAGGAACACCAGUGGCGAAGGCGACUUUCUGGACUGUAACUGACGCUGAGGCGCGAAAGCGUGGGGAGCAAACAGGAUUAGAUACCCUGGUAGUCCACGCCGUAAACGAUGAGUGCUAGGUGUAGAGGGUAUCGACCCCUUCUGUGCCGCAGUUAACACAAUAAGCACUCCCGCCUGGGGAGUACGGCCGCAAGGUUGAAACUCAAAUGAAUUGAC
rnacentral:rRNA from 1 species